CCUACGGGUGGCAGCAGUGGGGAAUAUUGGGUAAUGGGCGCAAGCCUGACCCAGCAACGCCGCGUGAAGGAAGAAGGCUCUCGGGUUGUAAACUUCCUUUAAGAGGGAAGAGCAGAAGACGGUACCUCUCGAAUAAGCCACGGCUAACUACGUGCCAGCAGCCGCGGUAACACGUAGGUGGCAAGCGUUGUCCGGAUUUACUGGGUGUAAAGGGCGUGCAGCCGGGAAGACAAGUCAGAUGUGAAAUCCCGCGGCUCAACCGCGGAACUGCAUUUGAAACUGUUUUUCUUGAGUACCGGAGAGGUCAUCGGAAUUCCUGGUGUAGCGGUGAAAUGCGUAGAUAUAAGGAAGAACACCAGUGGCGAAGGCAGAUGACUGGACGGCAACUGACGGUGAGGCGCGAAAGCGUGGGGAGCAAACAGGAUUAGAUACCCGAGUAGUC
rnacentral:rRNA from 1 species